UAAUUCAAAAGUUCAAUAUAUACAUAAUCUGUCACCAAAUAUAGCCGGAACAGAGUUUGUGGAUAACCAAUCUGUUUCGUUCAAUGCUUCAUCAGCCAAUCUUUCCAUCCGGAAACUCUGUUCUGGCAAUAUUUGGUGACAGAUUAUGUAUAUAUCAAACUUUUGAAUUA